GAAAUGGCUCGAACAGAGACGCCGAAACGUCAAUACUGGCACAGACAGAGAGACAGACACAAACAGAGACCGAAAAGACUCAGAGUAUUAUUGGUUCUGGCACAGACAGAUAUCAGAGGUGACACAGAUACCUGAAAUGACGCAGAUACCAGAAGUGACUCAGAUACCAGAAGUGACACAGAUACGAGAAGUGAUACAGAUUCGACACCAGUCACAGCGAGAUACCAGUCAAGAUACGACACCAGUCACAGAUACAUGAGUUUGGGUCCAUCGACACAAUACGCGAGUAAAACUCCUUUUACGUGAGUACAACUCCUUUUGCUACGUCACAAACACACAUAUGCCACCAGCCAAUCGCCUUGAUGUCAUGUUCACGCCAGCAAUCACCUCAACCAGAUCACCAGUCACAAUCACCACUUCAACAGUCUUACCAACUGCUUACCAACAGUCCCAAUUCUCCCGAACCCAACCCCAGCCGAUGGUCUCCGUACGGUCGCCAGAGCCGGGUUGAUGAUGUAGGAGCAGACGGGAGCAAGGAGGUGGUUUUGGUUGGCUAGCGAGCGGCACUUGUGAGCGGUUGACUUGAGCGGUAGCAAUUGCACUGACUUGGCCAGAUCGCCGUGGAGUCGUGGGGUGGUGACUAGGCAUGUCGUCACCAGCCAUCUCAUCUCAAGAGAGUCAGUAUCACUUGUUGGGAUCAUACAAGGCAGAUUCCUGGGAUUACAGCUCCUGGUCGCGCCGCAACGCACACAAGGCUGUCGUCACGACAGUGACUGGGCAGGUGAUCUGGAGGGUGUUUCUGUGGUGCAACGGCGUUGCUCCUGACCCGGUCUCCUGCUGUUACUGGCAGUAUUGCCUACAGGUUUCCAUUGAAUCAACCGUACACAGACUUGUGGUAGCCGGUGUGCCGCAAGCUCCAUCUUUUGUCUUGGCCUCUGGUUCACACAACAUCUGAAGGUUUUUGUGGUUCCAUCUGUUGCGACCUGGGGUGCAACACUACUGGGGCCAUCGGCCAUUUUGACACCUUGGGUGACGCUCUGGCUGUCAACACGCUUUAGCUGUUGCUCUAAUCGUUCUAUUGAAUUUGUCCUUCAUCGGUCACCGGAUCGCCCACGAACGAUCUCUAGAAACUGCUGGUUGGACGUUUCACUCAAUCUUGGCUUCACUGAAACGGGCAAACACUACACAAGUGUCUGGCUGAGCGUAUUCAACGAGCUUGAGCAGGCACAUGGGAAUGCAAUCCACGAUGGUGGAUUCUCUGCAUGACUGAAGGAGUUGUAUUGAACAAGAAGGGCCUGGCGAAUUGAAUGGCAAUGUGUCUCCAGAAUGAUAACUCGAGACGAUUGUAAAAAGAUAUUACCCCAAUCAAUCAUCUGGAACAUUCUUUGUUGGAAAAAGGAAAAGAGACACUCUCACUUCUGCUACAGUUUCUGCGUCGAUUGGUAUAGUGGAUGUUGGGUGUCGGCGGUUAGGUGACGGCGGUUGGGUGUCGAUUUUCCAUCCAUCAACUGUUUCUUCUAAUCUAUAGUGUCGACAACUUUACUAUUGUGAUUAUAAAUAAAAAUUAACAUAAUCACUUGA
rnacentral:misc_RNA from 1 species